rnacentral:rRNA from 1 species
UGGAAUGAAUGGUUGAACGAGAAAAAUACUGUCUCAAGUUGAAUUUAUUAGAAUUUUAUUUUUAAGUUAAAAAGCUUAAAUAAUUUUAAAAGACGAGAAGACCCUAUAGAGUUUUAUAGAUUUUAUUAUUAAAAAUUUUUGGAAUUUUAUAAUUUUUUAUAAUAAAAUUUAUUUUGUUGGGGUGAUGGAAAAAUUUAAUAAACUUUUUUUUUAAUUAGAACAUUAAUUUAUGAUUUUAUGAUCCAUUUUUUAUGAUUACAAGAUUAAAUUACCUUAGGGAUAACAGCGUA